CAGACGGGUGAGUAGCGCGUGGGAACGUACCCUUUGGUUCGGGACAACUCAGGGAAACUUGAGCUAAUACCGGAUAAGUGCGAGAGCAGAAAGAUUUAUCGCCGAAGGAUCGGCCCGCGUCUGAUUAGCUAGUUGGUGAGGUAACGGCUCACCAAGGCGACGAUCAGUAGCUGGUCUGAGAGGAUGAUCAGCCACAUUGGGACUGAGACACGGCCCAA
rnacentral:rRNA from 1 species